GGUCGGUUCGGUUCGGGUCGUCGGGUUGUCGGUUGGUUAAAAAGGGUUGGACCGGUUUACAUUGGUCGGAUUCGGCUUGCAUUCUUGGGCCCGUCGGAAUCCGAAUCCGACCGAAUCCAGUGAUGCUUCUAUGGGCCUUCUACACAACCUAGUUUAAGUCCAUGUUUAACUUGUUCACUUAACCCAAUCCAGACGAUUUCAUUUCUUCUGUUCUUAUCUUUCCCUAACCCUAAAACUCAACCUUCAUCUUUAAAUCUGCGCCGCACUUCCUUUACUCCGUUCCUAGUCCAAAUCGUCUUAUCUAUGUUUCUGCUUUGGUGUUCCAUAUACCAUAUCUUUCAUUAUCUCUUCAUGUUGCGUCUUCACCUCCUCUAUAUCUUCAUUUCACCGAUAAUUUCUACAAGUAUCUCAGUAUUCAAAAGUGUUUUUCCUCUUUGCAGAUCUCUCCAUUGACAACACCAACACAAUAGUUUAUCUGAAAGGCAUGUUAUUCUAUAGUUUUUGAAUCUCAUAGAUAUAUUAUGUUAUGGUUUUAUUUGUUUUUGUAACUUGUGAUUUUUAACUUUUAUCAUUUCUUAAUUUUCUUGUGCUUUUCUCCAACUUUAACUUUUUUUUUACAUGGAAGAGCUCUUGAACAAGCAGAGGAAGCAUGGAUCUGAAGCUUGAAGCAUGGAUCUGAAGCUGGAAGCAUGGAUCUGAAGCUGGGAGAUGAAACAAGCAAGCAGAAAGCAUGGAUCUGAAGCUGGAAGAUGAAAUAAGCAAGCAGAAAGCAGGGAUCUGAAACUGGGAGGUGAAAUAAGCAAGCUGGAAGCAGGGAUCUGAAACUGAAAUAUGAGAUAAGCAAGCUUUUAUUUGUAUUCUCUUAGCUAAGAGAGUUUUUUUUUUUUAUUUUGUGUGCUGAAAAUGAGACAUUAUUUUAUUAUGAGUUCAUGCUAAAACGAAAUAGUUUGAAAAAGAUCUAGUGAAAUAUGAGUUCAUGCUAAAAGUAAAAUGGUUUCACAUAGGCAUGGUUCUGGUUUGACAAUAAAUCAUGUAAUUGGAGAUAGUUUUGGUUCUGCAUCAUAGUUUUUAUCUUAUUUAAUUGUUAAUGAUUAAGUUAUCAACAUGCUUGUGAAUUCUAGAUCUACUUAUCAAUAUAAUUGGAGUUCAUGUUUUUGUUGAUGUUAUUGUUUGUUUUCAUUGUAGUUUUAUAUGUAUAUCUGUAUCAUUGAAUUGAUGACCUAAAUUAUUAAACUGUCAUGUAAUAUUUGAUAUUUUGUAGAUAAAAAAACAUUCAAAUGAUUAUGGCACUUGAUGCAGGGUGGCUCAUCAACAAGGAAUUAGAACAAACAACAAGCAAAUAUGAUGAGUCUCUAAAGCUUUCUCAAAAAGAAGAGUGAUGGAUCAAAAUAUGAGAUGACUUAACUUAAACAAUGAUGAGUUUGCUUCUUAUUUUCACAUAUGAAAUGGUAGCUGGAAGCUUGAUAGUUUGUUUCAUUGACUAAGAUUAACACAAGAUCAUUACAAAGUCUUUGAAAAAUGAAGCUUGGUAAUUGAGAAUGGCUAAGGAUCAUUAUAAAGUCAGUUUUGAAACAGAAGCUUGAUUUGAAAUGAAGCUUGGAAGAAUUAUUAUUUCUUGAUAAAUGGCCGUAAUAAGAAAAUAAAAUAUAUAUUGAGAUGGAAAUUAAGUUAUUAAAGUAUGUCUAUCAGAAUUUUGUUUUAUUAAUUA